UCACAUCUCUUGAGAGUUUAGAUCUCUCUUCCAAUCAGUUAUCUGGAGAUGUAUCUGCCCUUAAGUCUUUAACAUCCCUCGUAGAGUUGAGACUUUCAAACAAUUAUUUCAAAAUCCCAAGCUCAUUGGAGCCCUUCUUCAACCUUUCAAAACUCAAGCAUUUCAAAGCGGACAACAAUACCAUAUACAUUGAAAGUGAGAUGCAACCUUUGGCCCCAAGAUUCCAAUUGAACCUUAUCAGUUUAUCUAGUUGUGGAUAUGUUGGACAAUUUCCUCAUAUUUUGUUCCAUCAACAUGACUUAAGGCAAGUUUAUCUCUCUAACAACAACUUUAGAGAGGGAUUUCCAAAUUGGUUGUUGAAUAACAACACAAAUUUGGAAAGGUUAGUUCUUGCUAACAGCUCUCUCCUAGGUCAUUUUGAGUUACCUUUCCUUCCACAUACGGACUUAUCGUAUUUGGAUGUCUCAGAAAAUUCAUUCUAUAGCAAUCUUCCAAUUGAUAUUGGGGAAAAACUACCAUCAUUGUUGUUUCUGAACAUGUCAAAAAAUCUAUUUCGGGGUAGCAUUCCCUCUUCGAUUGGUGAUAUGAAUUUCUUAGAAGCCUUGGACUUGUCCAAUAAUCAAUUGUCUGGUGGGCUACCUGAGCAUUUGACCAUGGGCUGCUUUUCAUUAACUUCCCUUGCACUGUCCAACAACAAAUUGCAAGGGCAGAUGUUCUCUUCAAAUGUUAACCUUACAAAGUUGCGGGAGUUGCAGUUAGAUGGGAAUCAUUUCUCUGGGAAGAUCCCAGAUUCCUUGUCUAAUUGCUCCUUUUUGUCAACAUUGGAUUUAAGCAAUAACGUGCUUUCUGGGGAGAUACCAAGGUGGAUGGAGAAUAUGUCAAGUUUGUCAACAUUGGAUUUAAGCAAUAACGAGCUUUCUGGGGACAUACCAAGGUGGAUGGGGAGUAUGUCAUAUUUGGAAGAAAUUGUGAUGGCAAACAAUCAUCUUGAAGGUCCAUUCCCAAAGGAGUUUUGCCAUCUUAAUGAUCUUAAACUUCUAGACCUUUCAGUGAACAAUAUUUCUGGGAGUCUUCCAUCUUGUUUCAGCCCUUUAUGGAUAAGUCAAGUUCAUUUAUCAAGAAACAAGCUAGAAGGGGCACUCACAAAUAUUUUUCAUAACAGCACUAGCUUGGUGACAUUAGAUCUCAGCAAUAAUCACUUAACUGGGAAAAUUCCACGUUGGAUUGGCAACCUUUCUCAAUUGAGUUUUCUUUUGCUAAAUAACAACCAUUUUGAAGGUGGGAUUCCAAUUCAGUUAUGCAAUUUGGGCCAGUUAAGCCUGAUUAAUCUUUCCAAUAACAAUCUUUCAGGUACAAUUCCACCUUGCCUGAAGAUUACAGCACUGAAUGAAAUAUCCCAAGAAUAUGUUCGUUAUGUCACUGAUAUUGCUCAAGCUCCCAGUUCUUUCUUCAUUGAUGAACCGAUAGAGUUCACAGUGAAAAGCAUGUCUUACUCUUAUAAGGGAAUUGUUCUCACAUGUUUAUCUGGAAUUGAUCUCUCUUGCAACAAGUUGACAGGUGAAAUUCCCAGCGAAGUGAAAAACUUGCGAAAUAUUUAUGCUUUGAAUUUGUCUCACAACAAUUUGAUAGGACCAAUCCCACCGGCGUUUUCCAAUCUGAAGCAAAUUGAGAGUCUCGAUCUUUCUCACAACAACUUGAGCGGGAAAAUCCCUCCACAACUUGUGGGGUUAUAUAGGUUGUCUUAUUUCAGUGUGGCAUACAAUAAUUUAUCUGGAAGUACACCUGCAUGGACUGCACAGUUUGCAACAUUUGACGAAAGCAGAUAUGUGGGAAAUCCUCUUUUAUGCGGUAAACCAUUGAAGGACUGCUCAACACCAGGACCAUCAGCAUCUUUAUUGCCAAAAGCAUCGACUGAAAAUGGUUUGAUUGAUAUGAUUUCCUUUUUUGUGACUUUCGUUGUGUCUUAUGUUAUGGCAAUCCUGAGUAUUGAAUGUGUGCUUUACAUUAAUCCAUACUGGAGACAAGCAUGGUUCUAUUAUGUUGGGGCAAUAAGCAAUUGCUGCUACUAUUUUUUGGAAGACCAUAUUCUGCCUAAAAGGCUCCACUGUGAAAAUAUGUAAGGCAAUGUUAAGUUCACAUUUUCUCUACUCAUAUUUGAUAUUCUUGUAAUUUAUUAUCCUUCAAUAAAAAGGCAGUAUUCUCUUUUUUGCUUUAUAAAUGCAAAUUAUCUUAUAUUCUGAAAAGAUGAAAAAUACACAAACUGGCUAGAAAUAUAUGGAUAUAAUCUUUUUGGUAAAUAAAGGUAGUCUAACAAUUAAUUAAGGCUAAGUCAAAACAUAGUUCUUACCAUACGUUAUUCCUAAUGAAUUACAGAGCUGAAUAUUAGCAAUGCUUGAAGAAGGAUGAUGGCAAAUAUGAAUAAUUCUGCAUUAGAAAUGGAACAGCUAUCCAAAUUUCUGCAUAUGGGUGGAGGAUGAUUGAAGAAAGUAGCAUUUAAUAAUAUUUGAUAUGACCUCAAAAUCUAAUGUCAUUGAGCGGGGGAUAAUAAAGGAUUAAUCCCCUACAAUUCAACCGUCAAAUUUUGUGCAUCUUUUUUUACUUUUAAACUUUCAUUUUCUAACGGGAUAUUGAAUUUUGAGUUUAACGAUUUCGGUUAUAUUUUAGCCUCAAAGCUGGAGUUAUUAAUGGAUUAAUAAAGUAAUUUCAUUUUUUUACAAUUAAAUUUCUAAUUUAUUUGAAAUUUUUUCAAGGAAUAUAUUCACCCUACUAAUUUAUUUUUAAAGAAAAUUCACUCUAUUAGUUUGAUCCAUUCUAUGAGCUACAUGUGAUAAUAAAUUAUGCAGUCGAAUUUAGGUUCACAAAUUAUUAUCUUAAAUAAUAAUAAAAUACUCACUAAAUAAAAAAUUAUAUUUUUACAAAAUUGUCCCUAAAGUUUUACUUUUUAUUCAAUUUAGUCCUUGAGACCAAAUCAUGCAAAUUAACUAUUUUUAAUGCAAAUCCAUGCUAAAAGAAUAUUUAUAUAUUUAUUUUCCUCCUCCUCCUCUCCGUUCCACAUCCUUAAUUUAUAUAACAUGCUUAAAAGUAACAUUAUCUAUGAUUUCACUAUUUACUUAUAAAUUUAUUCAAAGUUGUCCAUCCGUGUCAUAGUCAUUAAAUCAUUUUUAUCUUGAGCUACAGAACUCCAAAUUAGGAUCUUCUAAUUUUCUCUGAAACUAGACUCGAUUAUCUUCUUACCAUAAAAUUUUCAGAAUUUUUGGUUUAGCCAAUAACUACAGUUUAUUCUUUAAAGUCACCCAUGUUCUGCUGUCUGACAGUUUCGACCCUUCUUCACUAAAAAUUAAUUAUCUCCUCGUACGGGAUUCGGAUGAUAUUACCAUUUAUUUCUCUUGAACAUAGACUUAUACAUAAUUUUAAAACUAUAAAUUUAUGCCCCUAAUUAUUUUUAUUCAAUUUUUUUAUUAUUUUCCAAAGUCAAAACAGGGGAACCAGAAUUCAUUCUGACCUUGUCUCACAAAAUUUAUUAUAUCUCAUGAUUUACAAUUCCAUUGCUUACACUGUUUCUUAUAUGAGAAACUAGACUCAAUAAGAUUUAAUUUAAUGUUUUAUUCAUCCUCUAAUUCGAUUUUCACAAUUUAUGGUGAUUUUUCAAAUUAACCUACUGCUGCUGUCCAAAACUAUUUUAGUGCAAAAUAUUGAAUACUAAAUUUAUAACACUCUUAUUCCCUUUCUCUAUAAUAUUUCCCAUCACUUUCUCUUAUUUUCCUUCACUAAUAUAUGUAUAUAUGGAAAUUUUUGGCAGGGAAAUUUAUGCCCUAUGGCUACGGCUAUAAGCAGAGUCAAAGUCUCGUCGAUAAUUCCAUCUAUCAAACUAUGACACCAAUGCCAAAACAAAUUAAAAUGACAACAUCUAAAAAGUAUAGGGUUAAUUGCAUUCAACAUCCUCAACUAUGAUUAUCAUUUUAAAUUAGUCUCUAAAUUUCAAAAUGUUAUAAUUACAUACCUAAACUGUCAAUUAGGUUCUUCUAUUAUUGACACCAGUAAAUGAACCAUUAAACCGUUAAAUGACAUGUUGAAUAUUAUGUAACAUAAUUUAAAACAACAAUUUAGAAAUGGUAAAAUCAAUAAAUUUAGUGAUAAAAGGACCUUAAAAAUUUAGAAAAGUAAUAGGAAUGUUAAUUAAAUAAAAUUCUAAAAUUAAAAAAAUAAGUGUAAUAAAUAUUGUAAACUAUUCUUCAAUAACAUACCAAAAACUUUUAAUUCAACCUUAGUUUAAUUGACAACUAGGAUGGCACAUCUAAUGGCUGUGCACCAAUGUCAAGGUUUCAACACUUUCAUUCUAUCAAUUCAAAUGUCUACAUUCUCACUUUCCAAAGGAAACUUCAUGGGCAAGCUGCACAUCACUUCUAUCGAAUGGAUUUAAAAUAUUAAAUAUGAAUAUAUUUAUUUUUAAAAAAAUUAUCAUUCUAAAUUAGUCUUUAAAUUCCAAAAUGUUAUAAUUACAUACCAUUGAUUAUAAAGGUGGUUGCUAUGUGUUGAUUCCACCGAGUAUCAUUGACUAUAAGGGUGGUGCUAUGUGCUGAUCCACCGUGUAUCUGUUAUUAUUCCGAAAUAUUCAUCGGGAAAUUGUCCAAGUGAAAAUACAUGAGAUCAUGUAACAACUAAGUAUAAUUGAAUGUGACUAUGUGAUAAAUGAGUGUAGGUAUAAGUGUGAAAAUUUAUGAACAAUGUGCUCGAUAUUUGAUCAAACCAUCGGUAAGAUGAAAUGGAAUAAGUGAAAUUGUGAAAGAGUAAAUUUAGCAACAAAACAGUUUUAGAUAGCAACAGUUGUAUGAAUUUGAAAAAUCACAAAAAAUUGUGGAAAUUGAAUUAAAGGCUAAAUAAUAUAUGAAAUUAAAGCUAAAUGAGUCUAUUUUCACAUAAAAGAAAUAGAGUAUGCAAAAGAGUUAUAUAUUUUGAGAUAUUUAAAUUUUAGUGAGACAGGGUUAGGAUGAUUUUUAAAUCCCCUAUUUUGACUUCGGAAAAUCAUUAAAAAUUGUAAAAAAAUAAUUAUGAGUUAUAUUUUAUGAGUCUAUUUUCAAGAGAAACAAAUAAGAACGUCAUCCAAACUCUGUAUAAUGAGAUAAUUAAUUUUUAGUGAAGGGAGGUUAGAACUGCCAAACAGUGAAAUAGGAGAUACUUUAAAGAAUAAACUGUACUUAUUGGCUAAGUCAAAAUUGGCUAAGUCAAAAAUUCUAAAAAUUUUAUGGUAAGAAGAUAUAUGAGUCUAGUUUAUGGGAAAAUUAACGAAUUAAUUUGGAGCUCCGUAGCUUAAGAUAUAAAUAAUUUAGUGACUCUAACUUGGAUAGACAACUUUGAAUUUAAAUAUAAGUAAAAAAGUGAAAAUAUAGUUACUUUUGUUUAAGCAUGUUAUAUACAUUAAGGAUAUGGAAUCGAGAGGAGGAGGAGGAAAAUUGGAUAAAUAUAUGAAUGAAUUGUGUAUAAUUGGUCAUAUGUUCGAUUAUAAUCGACAAACGUUGAAAUAGAAAUGAUGCUUAUAUUUGUGCAUUAUUGGUCAUGGUUUAAGCUCAUGUGGGGAAAUAAAGUUUCAUAGCAUAUGUGUGUGUGGUAUGUUUGGUAUAUGAUUUGGCAUGAAGAAAUGUCAUUAAUGGUUAUGAAUUAACUCAUGUUGAUAAGUUGAUACAUAGUUACAGUAUUUCUGCAAAUUAGCCUGGCAAGUUCGUAUGAACUAUAUUCUGUACAAUUUUGAUUAAAGUGAAUGUUAUUUGGUGAUGAAUAAUAUAUGUAUAUAUGUUAGUAUUGAACUGAAUUUUGAAAAUGUGAAUUGAAUAUGAAAAUGUGAAUAGAAAGCAUGAACUAAUUGUUCAUGAGAUAAAUAAAGGCUUAAUGUAAUAGUAUAUGAUGUUACCAAACGAAAACGAAAUAAAAAUUGUAAAUAUUGAGAAAUGAAUUAUUAUUGGUAUUGAUCUGAAAUGAAUGAUAUAUGCCUAUGAAAAAACGGCAAGAGAAUGAUAUGUGUUGAAACCAUUUUUUUGAAAACAAAAAUUAGUUGUUGACUUUAAAAACAAAAAUUGGAGUCGCCACCGAUCCUUUAUUGAGGUGUGAUCGGCUCACAUUAAAAACAAUUUUGGUUUGCGAAAUUUGAGAAAACAGGUUCGGGAGUCAGUUAUGCAUGAGGAAGGGUUAGCACCCUCGUAACACCCAAAAUUGGUAACGAAUUGAUUGUUUAAUGUCUUGGUGUCAAAGGUUUGAAAAGAUCUUAAAAAAAACUCAAGCGAUGAAAUUUAAAAUGAUAUUCAAUUGUUUAAGUCAGACGAAGAAAUCGAGACCCAAUACGUUAGAGUACAAUUUCUCAAAAUCCUCAAACUUUGAAUAUUGCUUUUUCAUAGGAAAAUCUUCAUCUUAAGAAAACAAUAUGUCAUGCCCAAUACGUUAGGACACAACAUGUUGAAUUCUCGAAAAUUUUAGGUUUAACAAGGAAAAUUGGAACCCAAUACGUUAGGGCUCAAUCCUCUCGAAUAUCCCAAAUACCGAAUAUUGCAUUAUCUUAAAAGCCUUUGAACAAAAAAAAAACGGUUUUAAUGCUUUGAUGAAUCCAAAUAUAUUUUCCUUAAAAAUGUGAUAAAAUGUUAAUAUAGAACAUGAAACAAAUACUUUAAUAUAAAUUAUAUAUGUAUAUGUAUAUACAAAAUAUGUAUAUAUAAGUAUACAUAUAUAUAAAAAAUGAAUGAAAUAUAUAUAUUUAUAAUAAAUUUUUUUAAAAAAAAGUACGCAUAUAUAUAUAAUAUAGAAGAUGCAUGUAUACUUGUAUUGAUUAUAAAAUAUAGAAGAUGUAUAUGUAUUAUAAAAUGUAAAUGUAUAUAUAUAUAUACAUGCAUAUAAAAGUUAUGAAAAUAAAAUAAUAUAUAUAUAUACAAAAUAUGUACAUGUAUUUACAAAAGUUUUAAAAAAAUACACAUAUAUAUUAUAAAAAAAUAUGCAUGUAUUUAUGUAAUAAUAAUAAUAAUAAUAAUAAUACUAUUGAAAUUAACUAAUUUAAUAGAAAAAAUGACAAAAAUGACUAAUUUAAACUUAAAACAGAAAUUUGGGGCAAUUUCGCAAAUAAAUAAAACAAAAAUGGGACCAAAAUGAUUUCGGUUAUAUUUUAGCCUCAAAGCUGGUGUUAUUAAUGGAUUAAUAAAGUAAUUUCAUUUUUUACACUUAAAUUUCUAAUUUAUUUGUAAUUUUUUCAAGGGAUAUAUUCACCCUACUAAUUUAUUUUAAAAAAAAUUCACUCUAUUAGUUUAAUCCAUUCUAUGAGCUACAUGAUAAUAAAUUAUGCAGGCGAAUUUAGGUUCACAAAUUAUUAUCUUAAAUAAUAAUAAAAUACUCACUAAAUAAAAUAUUAUAUAUAAUCUUUUGCCUCUAAUCUAUUCUAACAUACCCUUAAUUAGAGUUACUUAAAAGAGGUAGAUCUCGACUCAAAGUCAAAACAGUUUAGCAGAAGUAGGGUUAUGUUACAUAAUUGCAUUAUGGGGAGUAGAUGAUCAGCACCACUUUUUUUUCUAACACAAUUAUUGGCGGAUGAUUGUGUAAGGGAUUAAAAAAUAAUUUUUGGGGUUUUGAACACUAGAUAGCCGACAUUUAUGUAUUUUUUUCCAAUUCAUGUCAUACUAGUAUACGUUUAUACCAAUAUUUAAAAAAAUUAGAGUGUUGGUACUAAUGGUCGACACCAAUUUAUUAGAUAAAUUUUUUUUUUGAGGUGUUGGAACAUUGAUGGUUGGCACUUCUGCACUAGAUUUAAAAAAAAUUGAGGUGUUGGGACACUGAUGGCCGACACCUCCUUUAUUUGGUUAAAAAGAUUUUUUUGGGGUGUUGAAACACUGAUGGUCAACAUCCAUUUAUCUGAUUAAAAAAAAUUGGUGUUGUGACCCCCUUUAUCUGGCCAUCAGAAUCCUAGCACCCAAUUUUUUUUUAAUCAGAUAAAGGGGGUGCCGACCAUCAGUGUUCUAACGUCCAAAAAAAUUUUAAUCAGGUAAAAAGGGUAUCGACCAUCAGUGUAUCAACACCCAAAAUUUUUUUUUUAAUCAGAUGUAGUGGGUGACGGUUAUCAAUGUGUCAGCACCAUAACUAUUUUUUAAAAUACUGGUAUAUAUUACCAAUAUGAUACGGAUUGGGAAAAAUACAUGGGUAUCAUCCAUCUAGUGUCUGAAACCUUAGAAAUUAUUAUUUUUAAUCUCUGACACAAUGUUUGUGUUAGAAAAAAAGUUGGUGCCAGUCAUUUACUCUCUAUAACUCAAUUUUACUGUUCAUUUCAAUUCAUUUAAGUAGUUAUUUUUUAACCAAUAUUAUUUACAUAAAUAGUUAUUUUUUAGGUUAUUUUACUAUUCAUUUUAAGUAAUUUAAGUAUAAUUAAAUGGGAAGUGAAAUAAUUAAGAGCAUGCUACUUGGUAAUAAUGAGGCAGGUUUAAGGUUGAUGAAUUUGACAGUGCUUCGUUUGUAUGGCAAUCUCUUCAACAAUACCAUAUUGUCAUCUCUCGGAACACUCUCAAAUCUAAAGACUUUGUCUUUAGGAGGCUCCAAUUUGGAAGGAACAAUAGAUAUUAAAGGUAAAAUUAUCAUCCUCUUUCUCCUUAUUCAAUGACGUCUACAUAUAUUAAUAAAGUAUUUACUUUUCAAUUUUUGAUUCUCCCCAUAAUUAGAUGGCUUGAGCAAUUUGGAGGACCUCUUUAUGGGCUGCUAUUCAAAUAUUGGUACUAAUUCCAAAUUUAAUUUAAAUGUACUAAUUACUUGUUAGUUUGAUUAAUUUGAUAUAUUCCAAAGAAAUAAAGUAAAUAUAAAUAUACUAUUUGAUAUGUCCAGGUUGCAAUCUUCGGCUACAAUCAUUGGAUUUAUUCUCAUCAUUGAAGACUCUUUCCUUGAACGGAGUUAAUUUAAUUGACUCUCAUUCCCAAAUCAGUAAGUUAUUAUUAUUUUUUUACUUAUCUUAAUUCUUAAGAUUAAUUUACAUAAAUACUGGUUUCUAAUGGCACAUAUGUUGAAUGUGAUUUUAGACAUUUAAUUUUUAGUUAGUUUUUUUAAUAUUAUAUUUUUAAUUAUUGUAAAAUUAUAUUUCUUAUAUAAAACUGCUGAAUAUCAUCCUCUUUCUCCUUAUUCAAUGACCUCUGCAUAUAUUAAUAAAGUAUUUACUUUUCAAUUUUUGAUUUUCCUCAGAAUUAGACGGCUUGAGCAAUUUAGAGGACCUCCAUAUGAGCUGCUAUUCAAUUGGUACUACUAAAAUAAAAUUGUGGCUAAUUCCAAAUUUAAUUUAAAUGUACUAAUUACUUGUUAGUUUGAUUAAUUUGAUAUAUUCUAAAGAAAUAAACAUAAAUAUACUAUUUGAUAUGUCCAGGUUGCAAUCUUCAGCUACAAUCAAUGGAUUUAUUCUCAUCAUUGAAGACUCUUUUCUUGUACAAAGUUAAUUUAAUUGACUCUCAUUCCCAAAUCAGUAAGUUACUAUUUUUUUUACGUAUCUUAAUUCAUAAGAUUAAUUUUUAGUUAGUUUUUUAAUAUUAUAUUUUUAAAUAUUGUAAAAUAAUAUUUCUUAUACAAAACUGUUGAAUAUAAUUAAAAUAUAUUAACUGAUUUAAAUAUUAAAUAUUAUAACAACAAUUUUGAAAUCAUAAUUAAAGUUUUUUUAAUUUAAUCAAUACACAAUAUAAUUUUACUCCAUGUAAUUAAUACAAAAUAACAUUAUUCAAAAUAAUAACUAAUUAACAUAUGUUUAUUAUUUUGAUGAUAGUGAUAAUAAAAAAAUUCUAAUUGAUAUUAAAAUAUUUGUAAAAGAAUAUAAAAAAUAAUAUGACGUAAAUUAAUCUAUUCACCAUUCAAUUUUUAUUUUUUAUUCCCAUCAUUUAAGACUCUUUUUUUAGGAGGACUUAAAUUUAAUAACUCUCAUUACCACAAAUAUUUAUUUUGUUGACAUUAUUUUAAAAUUUUCUACCUUCACAAAACACACGUGUACAUAUAUUUUUAAUAUUUUUUAUUCAAGGAAUAAAUUGCAUAAUUUAAAAACUUGAAAGAGUUGAAGUUGCAAUCUUACAAUUAAUCGAUUAGAAAAUGAGUCUUUCAAUUUCUCUCGUAUAAGAAUAAUUUUAUUUUAUAAUUCAUGUUUAAAAUUAAUACCUCCUAUUAAAUUAUGCAUGCUUCAUCAUUCCAUUCACCCAAAUUAUUAGUUCUCUUCUAUUUCCAUUGAAUUUAGCAUUACAAUGUUAAUUUUAGUAUAUAUGGUAUUAAAUUUUUAAUAUUUUUAAUGCUAAAAGAUGAAAAUGAUUGAUUUUAAAAUAUGAAAUAAUAGCAUUGUGUGAGGAUUUUAACUUGUGGUUAUAGAAUUGCAAAAUUUGACAAAUUUAGAAGAGUUGGAAUUAAGGCAUUCAUCUCUCCCUUUUAACUUCAUUGGAGCACUACCUUCUUUACAAAGAUUGGACAUGGAAAAGUGUAACGUCAGUGACAGCCUCUUCAUGAAUGGUAAGUAUCUUUCAAUUUAUCAUUUCUUUUUAUACAAAGAAUGAUUUUCCCCAUAAAUAUAUUAUUCAUGACAAGCCUAUUUUUGAAAUAGUAUUUAUUAAACCCAAAAAAAGAGCAAAACUGUUUAUAAUUAUUAAUAAAAAAUUUGUUGAUUCAUGCUUCUUCUUUUUUUAAUUCAUUUCCCAGCAUUAAAAAACUUAUGAUAGGAUGUGAUGACGAAAAUUCAAUAAAUUAUUUAACUUUUUAAUAAAUACUACAAAAAAAAAGAAAGAAAGAAAGUGAUUUUUUUUUUGAUAAUUUUAUAAAAUUGUUGUGCUUCCUAAAAUUUUCAAUAAAUAUAAAAAAGAAAAAUGAGGGUAAAAGAAUAAUAUUUCUCAGUUUCUUUCUCUCUCUUUUUUCAUAAUUUUAUAGUAAUAUUUUAUAAAAUUGUUUUCUUUUCUAAAAUUUUCAAUAAUUUGCGACUCACUUUGUCUCCCUAAUAAUCUUUUCCCAAAACUCCAAAUACUAAAGCUAAAAUAAUAAACUCAACUUAAAGGAUCUCUCUCUUUCUUUUUAUAUAUAUUGAAUUGCAUACACUUUCUUCUUUUUUUCCAUUUGGAACAUAUCUACAUAAAUUUCUGUAACUUUGGUUUUGUUUGAAAUAGAUCCACUUGAGUUGCAGAAUUUGGAAUUCAUGCACAUAUAUCAUACUUCCCUUGAAAACAACUUUCUUCACAAAAUUGGUGCAAUGCCUCGUAUCAAGCAACUAAGCUUAAGGGGUUGUGGACUCAAUGGCACCUUACAUACCCAAGGUGAAUAAACACGAAACAUUUUAGUACCCUACUUUCCCAUACAAUAAGAUCCCUUUUCUUAAGGCAAGGAACGAAUACAACUAGAAUAUAUUAUAUUUAAUUUGUUUUAUUGUUUUUGGUUCCCUUGAAUGGCACUCUAUUUAUUUAUUUAAUGUUAUGUUUGCAGGUUUUUGUGGCUUGACAAAUCUCAGACUCUUGGGUAUGAGAAACAAUAAUUUGAAGGGUACUUUGCCAGAGUGUUUUUACAAUUUCACAUCUCUUGAGAGUUUAGAUCUCUCUUCCAAUCAGUUAUCUGGAGAUGUAUCUGCCCUUAAGUCUUUAACAUCCCUCGUAGAAUUGAGACUUUUAAACAAUUAUUUCAAAAUCCCAAGCUCAUUGGAGCCCUUCUUCAACCUUUCAAAACUCAAGCAUUUCAAUGCGGACAAGAAUACCAUAUACAUUGAAAGUGAGAUGCAACCUUUGGCCCCAAGAUUCCAAUUGAACCUUAUCAGUUUAUCUAGUUGUGGAGAUGUUGGACAAUUUCCUCAUUUUUUGUUCCAUCAACAUGACUUAAGGCAAGUUUAUCUCUCUAACAACAACUUUAGAG
rnacentral:lncRNA from 1 species